rnacentral:rRNA from 1 species
AUGGAGAAACCCAAGAGAUCAAGCCAGCCAUCACACAGGCGAUUCGAGUCGCUGGACGUCAAGAGGUCGUCUUCCUCGCUCAACAUGUCCACGUCUUCCCUCAGGAGCAUCAACGAGGAGGACAGGGGGGCCGCCGCCGCCCAUGCGGGCAGGAGGCCCACCGUCGUGAGGUUCGCUCCCACCCCUACACCUCCGCGACCGUCGUCGUCGUCGGGGACGAGGAGGGGCUCGCAUUUGGCGCCACAGCUGCAGGCGCCCAAGGCGGCAAGGCCUGCAACUGCUGCCGUGCGUCCGGCUUCGCCUUCCGGACCGAAGCCGGCCAGGCCGUCGCCUGCGGAGUCUGGACCGAAGGCGACGAGGAGGAGCUGGGGGUGCACGGGGAGCUCGGGUGAUCAGAAGGAGAGGGUGACCGGUGAUGUGAUCGGCGGGGAAAGGAGCAAGGGGGCGGCAGCGACGCUGGUGCGGAGUUCCUCGGUUCCAAGAAGCAGAAAGCCGGUAGAGGAGAAACCACUGCAGAAAAGGGAGAGCAAGACCAAUAUCAUCUCCAGGACUAAGCAAAGACCCACUGCAUCUCCGAAACCAGAUGUUCUCCACAAGCCCGGCGCGCAGAGAAGCCCCAGCAUUGCCACCAAGACGAGCGAGAAGCGACCCCCCACUCCCGGCGGUGCAUCGCCGGACGACAUGGUCAAGGUUUCUCCUCCCCGUUCGACAUCGGCGACGACGAUGGGCGCCUCGUGGGAAUCGCUUCCACCGGCCCUCCAGACUCUCGGAUCGGGAGUCAUGAGUUAUAGGGAUGCUGCAGAGAUGGCCGCUGUGGAGGCCAUGCAGGAAGCUUCUGCUGCAGAGAUUGUGCUCAGAUGUCUCAGUGCCUUCGCGGAUUUGGCCGCCACCGCCGGCAAGCAGUCGCCGCAGCAGACCGUGGACGAGUUCCUCGCGCUCCAAGCCGCGAUUGCCCGCUCCACCGCCGCGCUCGGCAACCAGCAACGGAGUGGCCACGCCGGCGAGUGGCUGCACGCGGCGGUCACCGCCGACCUGUCGCCUUUCUCGCUCUACACCGCCCCGUCGUCGUCGUCCAGGAAGCGGGGCACCGAGUCGCCUGCCGUCUCCGCCACGCCGAGGCCGGUGGCCGCCGCGGAGGAGGCCGACACCUGGCUGGAGACGGCGGCGAGGGAGCUCGGGGAGGAGAUGUGCGCGUGGUUCGUCGGGCACGUGGACCGGCUGCUCGAAGCCGACGUGGCCGGGACGCUGGGACAGCUCAAGAGGGUCAACGACUGGCUGGACGACGUCGGGCUCCGGACGGACGCCGUCGAGCGGCUGAAGCAGAAGAUCUUCGGGUACCUGCUGGAUCACGUCGAGUCGGCGGUGGUCGCGUUAAACGGCGGCGUUGCAUCCAACCGGAGAAAAUAG